rnacentral:rRNA from 1 species
UCAGACGAUGCGUCAUGCAUAUCAAUAAGCGGAGGAAAAGAAACUAACAAGGAUUCCCCUUAGUAACGGCGAGUGAAGCGGGAAGAGCUCAAAUUUGAAAUCUUCAAGGGUUUACCUUUACGAAUGUAGUUUAAAGAAGUGUUUUCUGCUGAGGUUUUGGUAAAAGUUCUUUGGAAUAGGACAUCAUAGAGGGUGAGAAUCCCGUAUUUGACCAUUAUUUUCAGCUUUGUGAUACACUUUCAAAGAGUCGGAUUGUUUGGGAAUGCAGUCCAAAAUGGGUGGUAAAUUUCAUCUAAAGCUAAAUAUUGGCGAGAGACCGAUAGCGAACAAGUACCGUGAGGGAAAGAUGAAAAGAACUUUGAAAAGAGAGUUAAACGGUACGUGAAAUUGUCAAAAGGGAAGCGUUUGACACCAGUGUUGUUUUCUCGAAAAUCAAUUAAAAAUGGCUCGAUUUUGUAUUGCUGAGACCUUAAAAGCUCACUGUACAUUUUUCGUGUCUUUUUUAAUGCACUUUUCGUUUAACAAGUUAACAUCAGUUUCUUUUGUUGUAAAAGGGUCAUUGGAAGGUGGCUUUCUUUUCGGAGAAAGUGUUUAUAGCCUUUGGCCUCUGCAAUCGGAGAGACUGAGGUCUGCAGCGUAGACUCUUCGGGGUUAGAUACAUUUGUGCUAAGUUAUAGCUUUUUAUAGACAACUUGUUGACUAUAAUUAGUCUUGUAGCUUACUCGCUUAUGCUAUUUUACCUACGCUUAGGAUGUUGACGAUCAGCUGAGCGCG